CCUACGAGCGGCAGCAGUGGGGCAUAUUGGGCAAUGGAGGAAACUCUGACCCAGCAACGCCGCGUGAGUGAUGAAGGUCUUCGGAUUGUAAAACUCUUUAAGUGGGGACGAAGAAAGUGACUGUACCAACAGAAUAAGCCUCGUCUAACUACGGACCCGCAGCCGCGGUAAUACGUAGGAGGCAAGCGUUAUCCGGAAUGACUGGGCGUAAAGGGUGCGUAGGUGGUUUGACAAGUUAGUAGCGUAAUUCCGGGGCGCAACUUCGGAACUACUACUAAAACUGUUGGGCUUGAGUGCAGGAGAGGUGAAUGGAAGUCCUAGUGGAGCGGUGGAAUGCGUAGAUAUUAGGAGGAACACCAGCGGCGAAAGCGAUUCACUGGACUGUAACUGACACUGAGGCACGAAAGCGUGGGGAGCAAACAGGAUUAGAUACCCUAGUAGUC
rnacentral:rRNA from 1 species